rnacentral:tRNA from 1 species
GGGCGGGUAGCUCAGCUGGGAGAGCGUCGGCCUUACAAGCCGGAGGCCACAGGUUCGAGCCCUGUCCCGCCUA